GCCCGCUUGGCUUAGGGGUAAAGCGUAUCACUCGUAUGUGCAUCGUGAUGAUAAGAUCAGUCGUUCGAAUCGGCUAGUGGGCA